GACACCACAUGCUUCUCCAGUGCCUGCCCUCCAGGUCAUGUUCCAGUGUCCCACAGAUGCAGCACCGUGGCCCAGGCGGCAUUGGUGUCACC
rnacentral:miRNA from 1 species